GACGAACCGUGCGAACGUUAUUCGGAAUCACUGGGCUUAAAGCGCGUGUAGGCGGAUGGGAACGUCGGUUACUGAAAUCCCCCGGCUCAACCGGGGAACGGGUGCCGAAACGACCCGUCUGGAGGGACGUAGGGGACCUGGAACUUCCGGUGGAGCGGUGAAAUGCGUUGAGAUCGGAAGGAACGCCCGUGGCGAAAGCGAGGUCCUGGACGUCUGCUGACGCUGAGACGCGAAAGCCAGGGGAGCGAACGGG
rnacentral:rRNA from 1 species